rnacentral:lncRNA from 1 species
AAUGGGCUUGAAGAACAGACAAUAGCCUGGGAAAAAGUUUGUAUGAGCUCCAAGUGUGGAGUCAGCUUCAAUCUUCUUUCCUAUGAGUUAGUCUCAUCUGUUUGAUGAAAUUAUGGGGAUGAAGGGUGGGGUGGGGCAAGACAAUUUAAUGCCUUCUGAAGGAAAUUCUCUUAGUCAAAUAAGGAACUCAGCAUUUGCUGCUCCUCAGGUCCUCUCAGUUGGAAGUUCAAAGCAGUAUAUUUCAGGGUAUCAUUUUCUGAGUCCCAACAUGUGAUACCCUGCAGCACGAAGUAGGUAACACUCCCAUAAUCAGUCAUACUAAUAUUUCUGGUAUAUAACAUAAAAAUAUGCACCGUAAGUGUGGUAAAUAAAGACUUAAAAGUAGCCUCACAUUAGUUCAGGUCAGGUUUAGAAGCCUAAUGAGCUAGAAGUUAUUUUGAUUUUUCUGAGCUUUUGAAUGUGAAACAGCACAUAGGGAUUAUGAACCUGUAUUAUCUUAUCCCAACAAUAAACACUAAAUCUGCCAUUUUGCUGUUUCUUUGGCACUUCUUCAGUGUCAUCAGCCAUGAAAGACGCUGUUCUCCUGUUAGACCCAGAAGAUUUAGGAAGCAGUUAAACACAGACUCAAAAAACUAUCUGAUGGAAGUGCGAUUCCCUUUAUAUAUUGGAGAAUAUGCAAUGCAUAUAAAUUAGCCUUAUGUAUUCUUUUGUAGCAGGAUGUGAACAUUCACUCUUAUUGUGGAAAAAUAGUCAUUUGGUUAUUCUUUUCUCUGAAGCAGUAGAAAGAUGGAACGCAAAUAUUUCCUUCUCCAGGGAAAAUUUCAGGAUGAAGUGAAGCAGUUAUUUGGUUGCUAAUGAUUUUGGUAGGCUAUCAAAAACUACUAAGAAACGAGCAGGAAUAGAGCCUGGGUAAGGCAAAAGGCAGAGGAUAUGGAAUCUGUAGGACCUGAGGGAGAAAGAGUUGUGGGGAUCUCUGGAGCAGAGGGCACCUGCCUACUGUUCCAUGGCAGGACCCUGAGGACAUGGAGGAUAUAAGGAAAUUGCUUGUGGUGCACCAAAAAGCAAGUCUAGACCUGAGAUAUUCUGUUUCCUGGAGAAUAAUCACAAACUCCCUGCAAGGCAACGAACCAUAAGAGAGGCAGACCUGAACAAGCCCAGCAAAUAAGGAUAAUGGUCAUUUCAGGGUGAAUUUGGUUUCAUGGAUAAUUGAGAACCAAAACCCUUCAGCCCCCUCCCCUUUGUUCCAACUGUGUGAGACCUGGAUGAAUGAUAUAACCUCAGGAGUUAGUGGGGAAGGUUGUCUCAAAAAUGAAGGGCUAGCUAUGUCAUAAAUACCCGUGUAGUUUCCACAGGUUCUACACUCACCCUAGAGGAAGCCAGAUGUCAUAUUAAAAGUAUUGUCUUAACACUGCCACUUGGAAAAGCCAUGUGCCGUUGUCCUAGAUGACAGCCCCAACUGAGAUCCCAGUCAACUACUGGUACUAACCACCAGAGUGAGGCAUCUUGGAUAUCUAGCCUAGCUGAGCUAUCAGAUGAUUUAAGUCCCAGUUGACAUAUGACUGCAAUGGUAGAAGAAACUCCAAGUGAAAACUUUCCAGCCUAAGCCUUUCCCAAAUUUCUGACCCAUAAAAUUAUGUAAAAUAAAAAGAUUACUUUAAGCCGCUAAGUUUUGUAGUAAUAAUAACUAGAAUAUCCAAGGGUCAUGGAGCUAAGAGACUUAGUAACAGGACUUGGGCUAGAACCCAACUUUCCCUUCUCACCUAGGGUAUUCCUGUGGCCCAAGGUAAUCAGAUAAGACACUGGAUCAAGACAA